rnacentral:rRNA from 1 species
UACGUAGGCAGCGAGCGUUGUUCGGAGUUACUGGGCGUAAAGGGUGUGUAGGCGGUUGUUUAAAGUUUGGUGUGAAAUCUACCCGGCUCAACGUGGGAGGGUGCGCCGAAUACUGAAUGACUUCGAGUGGCGGGAGAGGAGAGUGGAAUUCCUGGUGUAGCGGUGGAAAAUGCGUAGAUAUCAGGAGGAACACCGGUGGUGUAGACGGCUCUCUGGACCGUAACUGACGCUGAGACACGAAAGCGUGGGUAGCAAACAGG